UUAUACUCUCCCAAAUUUGUUCUCCAUCAAUCACAACUAAGUUCAAAGGCAAAUCAAGUGAUUACAACAUAAGGAAUCACAUGACAAUCAUAGAAUCGUAGAUUUCUCGUUAUUUCGAUUUUCGAAAGAAAGCUUCGUCUUGAAAUAACUUAAGUUGCAAAGUAUUAUUCAACUUUUGAGGAAGUCAGUUAUAAAGUGUUAGAAGCUUAUGGAAAUGUGUAUAACUCCAAUCGACGAGGUACGAUAGACGGAUUAUUGUACCUUUCUCGGUAAGAUACCAAAGUUCAGCAGGGAUGUUCGCACUCCAUUCUCCGGAAUUACUGGUCAGAGUCAUUAAAUAGGAUGCAUGCAUAUAUGUAUAUAAAUAGUAUGGCUAUGGGUACGUCAGGGCCACUUUCCCGACUAGUUGUUGCAUAUUAGUGCUCUUAGAGGCUUACAGACUAUCAGUCAGUGUACAGGUAUUGUGUUUGCCCUUGCCGGCCUUCUGACUAGUUGUCUUUCUCGGUUGUGGCCUUGUCGGCCCUAGUUAUGCAUAUAUGUGUUGUUGGGCCUUUUCUGCUUGCAGGUUGUUAUGAUAUACUUCUUACAAUUUUUAUUCAGCGGCCUUGUCGGCCUAUGAUUCACGUUACAGAAUUCAGAUAUCACAGUUGGUUCGCUCGGCCCUUCGGG